rnacentral:rRNA from 1 species
GACGAACGCUGGCGGCGUGCUUAACACAUGCAAGUCGAACGAUGAAGGAGAGCUUGCUCUCCGGAUUAGUGGCGAACGGGUGAGUAACACGUGACUAACCUGCCCCUUUCUCUGGGAUAACGCUCCGAAAGGAGUGCUAAUACCGGAUACGAACUCUGAACACAUGUUCGGAGUUGGAAAGUUUUUCGGAAAGGGAGGGAGUCGCGGCCUAUCAGCUUGUUGGUGAGGUAACGGCUCACCAAGGCGACGACGGGUAGCCGGCCUGAGAGGGCGACCGGCCACACUGGGACUGAGACACGGCCCAGACUCCUACGGGAGGCAGCAGUGGGGAAUAUUGCACAAUGGGCGAAAGCCUGAUGCAGCGACGCCGCGUGAGGGAUGAAGGUCUUCGUAUUGUAAACCUCUUUCAGUAGGGACGAAGCGAAAGUGACGGUACCUAAAGAAGAAGCACCGGCUAACUACGUGCCAGCCGCCGCAGUAA